rnacentral:rRNA from 1 species
GAUGAACGCUGGCGGCGUGCCUAACACAUGCAAGUCGAACGGAGCUGCUUUGAUGAAGUUUUCGGAUAGAUUUAAAACAGCUUAGUGGCGGACGGGUGAGUAACGCGUGGGUAACCUGCCUCACACUGGGGGAUAACAGUUAGAAAUAGCUGCUAAUACCGCGUAAGCGCACAGUUCCGCAUGGAACAGUGUGAAAAACUCCGGUGGUGUGAGAUGGACCCGCGUCUGAUUAGCCAGUUGGCGGGGUAACGGCCCACCAAAGCGACGAUCAGUAUCCGGCCUGAGAGGGUGAACGGCCACAUUGGGACUGAGACACGGCCCAAGCUCCUACGGGGGGCAGCAGUGGGGAAUAUUGCACAAUGGGGGAAACCCUGAUGCAGCGACGCCGCGUGAGUGAAGAAGUAUUUCGGUAUGUAAAGCUCUAUCAGCAGGGAAGAAAGUGACGGUACCUGAAUAAGAAGCCCCGGCUAACUACGUGCCAGCAGCCGCGGUAA